GUGAAUCAUCAAAUUUUUGAACGCAAAUUGCGCCUUUUUGGGAAGGCGUGUGUGUUUGAGGGCCCCACUUAAUAAAUAAUGCGCAGCGUCUUUUGUUGCACACGUUGAUGAGCUUUCCAAGACUUUUAAAUUGUUGGUGGCGCAUAAUGAACAGCGUGAAAGUUUUUCUAAGUUCGAGUGUAGUAAAAUCUUUUCUUGGGUUGUGAAAAAACAUAAUCGGUCAAUGGGUGUGGCAAUUUCUUUUUAUCCCUGCCCCAAUGCAUCUCUUUCUCACGAAAGAAUGUCUAAU
rnacentral:misc_RNA from 1 species